UACGGAGGGGGCUAGCGUUGUUCGGAAUUACUGGGCGUAGAGCGCACGUAGGCGGCUUUGUAAGUCAGAGGUGAAAGCCCGGAGCUCAACUCCGGAAUUGCCUUUGAGACUGCAUCGCUUGAAUCCAGGAGAGGUGAGUGGAAUUCCGAGUGUAGAGGUGAAAUUCGUAGAUAUUCGGAAGAACACCAGUGGCGAAGGCGGCUCACUGGACUGGUAUUGACGCUGAGGUGCGAAAGCGUGGGGAGCAAACAGG
rnacentral:rRNA from 1 species